rnacentral:rRNA from 1 species
UACGGAGGGAGCUAGCGUUGUUCAGAAUUACUGGGCGUAAAGCGCACGUAGGCGGAUUUGUAAGUCAGGGGUGAAAUCCCGGGGCUCAACCUCGGAACUGCCUUUGAUACUGCAAAUCUCGAGUCCGGAAGAGGUGAGUGGAAUUCCUAGUGUAGAGGUGAAAUUCGUAGAUAUUAGGAAGAACACCAGUGGCGAAGGCGGCUCACUGGUCCGGUACUGACGCUGAGGUGCGAAAGCGUGGGGAGCAAACAGG